GUGCCAGCAGCCGCGGUAAUACGGAGGAUCCAAGCGUUAUCCGGAAUCAUUGGGUUUAAAGGGUCCGUAGGUGGAUAAUUAAGUCAGAGGUGAAAUCCUGCAGCUCAACUGUAGAAUUGCCUUUGAUACUGGUUGUCUUGAGUUAUUAUGAAGUAGUUAGAAUAUGUAGUGUAGCGGUGAAAUGCAUAGAUAUUACAUAGAAUACCAAUUGCGAAGGCAGAUUACUAAUAAUAUACUGACACUGAUGGACGAAAGCGUGGGGAGCGAACAGGAUUAGAUACCCUGGUAGUCCACGCCGUAAACGAUGGUCACUAGCUGUUCGAACUUCGGUUUGAGUGGCUAAGCGAAAGUGAUAAGUGACCCACCUGGGGAGUACGUUCGCAAGAAUGAAACUCAAAGGAAUUGACGG
rnacentral:rRNA from 1 species